UACGGAGGGGGCUAGCGUUGUUCGGAAUCACUGGGCGUAAAGCGCACGUAGGCGGCUUCUUAAGUCAGGGGUGAAAUCCUGGAGCUCAACUCCAGAACUGCCUUUGAUACUGAGGAGCUUGAGUCCGGGAGAGGUGAGUGGAACUGCGAGUGUAGAGGUGAAAUUCGUAGAUAUUCGCAAGAACACCAGUGGCGAAGGCGGCUCACUGGCCCGGUACUGACGCUGAGGUGCGAAAGCGUGGGGAGCAAACAGG
rnacentral:rRNA from 1 species